rnacentral:rRNA from 1 species
AGAGUUUGAUCAUGGCUCAGAUUGAACGCUGGCGGCAGGCCUAACACAUGCAAGUCGAACGGUAACAGGAAGCAGCUUGCUGCUUUGCUGACGAGUGGCGGACGGGUGAGUAAUGUCUGGGAAACUGCCUGAUGGAGGGGGAUAACUACUGGAAACGGUGGCUAAUACCGCAUAACGUCGCAAGACCAAAGAGGGGGACCUUCGGGCCUCUUGCCAUCAGAUGUGCCCAGAUGGGAUUAGCUAGUUGGUGAGGUAACGGCUCACCAAGGCGACGAUCCCUAGCUGGUCUGAGAGGAUGACCAGCCACACUGGAACUGAGACACGGUCCAGACUCCUACGGGAGGCAGCAGUGGGGAAUAUUGCACAAUGGGCGCAAGCCUGAUGCAGCCAUGCCGCGUGUAUGAAGAAGGCCUUCGGGUUGUAAAGUACUUUCAGCGGGGAGGAAGGUGUUGUGGUUAAUAACCUCAGCAAUUGACGUUACCCGCAGAAGAAGCACCGGCUAACUCCGUGCCAGCAGCCGCGGUAAUACGGAGGGUGCAAGCGUUAAUCGGAAUUACUGGGCGUAAAGCGCACGCAGGCGGUCUGUCAAGUCGGAUGUGAAAUCCCCGGGCUCAACCUGGGAACUGCAUUCGAAACUGGCAGGCUUGAGUCUUGUAGAGGGGGGUAGAAUUCCAGGUGUAGCGGUGAAAUGCGUAGAGAUCUGGAGGAAUACCGGUGGCGAAGGCGGCCCCCUGGACAAAGACUGACGCUCAGGUGCGAAAGCGUGGGGAGCAAACAGGAUUAGAUACCCUGGUAGUCCACGCCGUAAACGAUGUCUACUUGGAGGUUGUGCCCUUGAGGCGUGGCUUCCGGAGCUAACGCGUUAAGUAGACCGCCUGGGGAGUACGGCCGCAAGGUUAAAACUCAAAUGAAUUGACGGGGGCCCGCACAAGCGGUGGAGCAUGUGGUUUAAUUCGAUGCAACGCGAAGAACCUUACCUGGUCUUGACAUCCACGGAAGUUUUCAGAGAUGAGAAUGUGCCUUCGGGAACCGUGAGACAGGUGCUGCAUGGCUGUCGUCAGCUCGUGUUGUGAAAUGUUGGGUUAAGUCCCGCAACGAGCGCAACCCUUAUCCUUUGUUGCCAGCGGUCCGGCCGGGAACUCAAAGGAGACUGCCAGUGAUAAACUGGAGGAAGGUGGGGAUGACGUCAAGUCAUCAUGGCCCUUACGACCAGGGCUACACACGUGCUACAAUGGCGCAUACAAAGAGAAGCGACCUCGCGAGAGCAAGCGGACCUCAUAAAGUGCGUCGUAGUCCGGAUUGGAGUCUGCAACUCGACUCCAUGAAGUCGGAAUCGCUAGUAAUCGUGGAUCAGAAUGCCACGGUGAAUACGUUCCCGGGCCUUGUACACACCGCCCGUCACACCAUGGGAGUGGGUUGCAAAAGAAGUAGGUAGCUUAACCUUCGGGAGGGCGCUUACCACUUUGUGAUUCAUGACUGGGGUGAAGUCGUAACAAGGUAACCGUAGGGGAACCUGCGGUUG